rnacentral:rRNA from 1 species
CCUACGGGGCGCUGCAGUGGGGAAUAUUGGGCAAUGGGCGCAAGCCUGACCCAGCAACGCCGCGUGAAGGAAGAAGGCUCUCGGGUUGUAAACUUCUUUUAUCAGGGACGAAGCAAGUGACGGUACCUGAUGAGUAAGCCACGGCUAACUACGUGCCAGCAGCCGCGGUAAUACGUAGGUGGCAAGCGUUAUCCGGAUUUACUGGGUGUAAAGGGCGUGUAGGCGGGAAAGCAAGUCAGAUGUGAAAACCAUGGGCUCAACCUGUGGCCUGCAUUUGAAACUGUUUUUCUUGGGUACUGGGGAGGCAGACGGAAUUCCUAGUGUAGCGGUGAAAUGCGUAGAUAUUAGGCGGAACACCAGUGGCGAAGGCGGUCUGCUGGACAGCAACUGACGCUGAGGCGCGAAAGCGUGGGGAGCAAACAGGAUUAGAUACCCCAGUAGUC